AAUGUGACAACUUUCUGGUCAAAUCUAGAGAAAUUGUUUGUCUCCUUAUAACCCUUCUUACCCUUUCCAGAAACAGAAGGAGCCACUCAACUCCAUAUCAAAAUUUUCAUAGAUUCUGCAGAAGUUUAAGGGUAAGGGAGGUGACAGAAGAGAGUGAGCACAGAUGGUAUUUUCUUGCAAGAUAACGAUUUAUGCUUGAAGCUAUGCGUGCUUACUCUCUAUCUGUCACCCCACCACCAUCUCCACCCUUUUCAUUUUCUAUUUAUAAAUUGCUUCUUUGUUUAUUUGUUUUCUAGCUUUCCCUUUUGUUGGUUACUCUAACCUAAGUUGCAGCAAUUAGGAUCUCACUAUCAGCCAAAUAAUAUCUGCAUAACAUCGAUCUGAUACAUAUUACAGGUAUAUGCGUUUCUCAGAUUGUUCUUAAUUAGUUCUUGCUUCUGAGCAUGCUGACCUGCAGCACCUAUAGCUACUUCAUCAAAAGCUUAUUUAACACCUGUCUCCGAGGCAGGCAUGUGCUAGGAUACAGAAUCUAUUUGAACAAUUAUUGUUAUCUAAAUUGCUUGAUCAAUGUUGUUAUUCUCAGUCAAUAUACUUUAUGAUGAAUAAGAGACGGAGUAAUGAUGAUUAAUUAAUUAAAAGCAUCUGAAAAACCUAGCUCGCCUUUUGAUUCAAUUCAAUUCAGACACUCAAAAAAUCGUGGUUUUUCUUUGAUGACAUUGGUUUGGGUAUAUAUCCAUCUUUAACGGAAGAUAAAUCUCAAGUCGGUAAAUCUGGAAAAAAUAUUUAUAUAUCUCUUAUUCUUAGGGUUUUUAGAUUUUCAAGGUUAAGAAAACUGAUCCACAAAUUAACUGGUUUUCUGUAAUUCAUUCUCCUUCAGAACAGAUUGCAUUCUGAUCACGAGUUUUAAUUAUUUUUUUGUAGCUCAGCCAAUGUUUUGGAUCUUGAACAGAUGCUGGAAUUAAGAAAAUAUAACGGACUUGGAAACAAGCUAGAGUGGGAGGAGUUUCUUUCUGAUGUAUAUAUAUCUACUGAUUUUCUAUCACAUUAGCUUUAAUAUGAUUUAUCAAAGUAGGAGGAAAAUGUAAUUUGAUGUAAGAGAAGGGACAUCCUUUGUACUCCCAUUAAUAAAAUUUUCUUUUGUUAAUAAAAACAAAACAGCCAUGCUGGUGUUCUUUCUAUGCACUGAGAAUAUAUGGGGAGGAAAUUCCCUUUUAUUUUUUGCCCUUGUGAAAGGAAAUAGAAAUUUAACACUAUAUAUUGUUUUGUCUUCUUUCUAUGCAAUCUAGGGUUUGCUAAAAUUUAAGCUUCACACUUUCAGGUUGUGACAAUCUUGCUGGUAUACUAUGGAUAACGGUGCAAACAAUGAUGUAUUUGUAGCUAGAAAGGGAAGAAAGAGGCUGGUCCAUGCAUUGCUUGAUUUUCAAAGAAAUGAGUGAUGAUGGCAUGAAUGUGUAAAUGUUUUUGUCUAUAUUUGUUGCAGUCGUUCAAAUUAAAUUGGCAUCAGAUUGAUACCAGUUAUGAAGGAAAUUUUGGGAUCACUAUACGGAUACUUAUUGAGUAUCCAACAAAAUUUGGAUCAAUUUGAGAUGAAAUAUUUUUAGUUGACUACCUUAAAGGCUCAAAUUCUUGAACUUCAUGGAAACCCUUUGUUAAACUAAACGAGUUUCAUCAACUAAUUUACGCACUCGAUCAUCAAUUGUGUAAGAUCAGUGAUAUGAUUGAUUGAAAGUGAAAAGGUAGAACAAGC
rnacentral:lncRNA from 1 species